rnacentral:piRNA from 1 species
UCAGCUAUGGAGUGGCGGCGGCCUA